UGACGCAGCGACGCCGCGUGAAGGAUGAAGGUCUUCGGAUUGUAAACUUCUUUGUUGGGGACGAUAAUGACGGUACCCGAUGAAUAAGCCACGGCUAACUCUGUGCCAGCAGCCGCGGUAAGACAGAGGUGGCAAGCGUUGUUCGGAAUUACUGGGCUUAAAGGGCGCGUAGGUGUCCCGGCAAGUCAGAUGUGGAAUCUCUCCGCUUAACGGGGAAAUUGCAUCUGAAACUGUCGGGAUUGAGUCAGCGAGGGGAUGGCGGAAUUCCAGGUGUAGCGGUGAAAUGCGUAGAUAUCUGGAGGAAGGCCGGUGGCGAAGGCGGCCAUCUGGCGCUGAACUGACACUGAGGCGCGAAAGCGUGGGGAGCAAACAGGAUUAGAUACCCUGGUAGUCCACGCCCUAAACGGUGGAUACUAGGUGUAGGGCUCGUAAGGGUUCUGUGCCGAAGGGAAACCAUUAAGUAUCCCGCCUGGGGAGUACGGCCGCAAGGUUG
rnacentral:rRNA from 1 species